AACACGCUCCUUAGAUCCACCCUUGGGACAUGUACUCAACACUGGCCUACAUGGCAGCACCGCUGUAUGGGUCUGGUAUUGUUAUGUCCAGCAACUUUGUUGGUUGUAUGUCGAGGGUGAUUGAGUCAUUGGCGUGUGACAUAAAUAUACCUCAGUCUUGGGUCCUACACUGACCAUGCUGUUUACUAACUGUAAUAUCUGUGCAUGGUCAGUUUGACCUUUGGUUUGGACAGU